UACGAAGGACCCGAGCGUUAUCCGGAUUUAUUGGGUUUAAAGGGUGCGUAGGCGGACUAAUAAGUCAGUGGUGAAAGCCCAUCGCUUAACGGUGGAAUUGCCAUUGAUACUGUUAGUCUUGAGUAUGGUUGAGGUGGGCGGAAUGUGUCAUGUAGCGGUGAAAUGCUUAGAUAUGACCCAGAACACCAAUUGCGAAGGCAGCUCGCUGGGACGUUACUGACGCUGAGACGCGAAAAGCGUGGGGGAGCAAAACAGG
rnacentral:rRNA from 1 species